AUUGAACGCUGGCGGCAGGCUUAACACAUGCAAGUCGAACGAGUGGCGGACGGGUGAGUAAUGCUUGGGAAUCUAGCUUAUGGAGGGGGAUAACUACGGGAAACUGUAGCUAAUACCGCGUACCAUCAGAUGAACCCAUAUGGGAUUAGCUUGUAGGUGAGGUAACGGCUCACCUAGGCGACGAGCCCUAGCGGGUCUGAGAGGAUGAUCAGCCACCCGGGGACUGAGACACGGCCCAGACUCCGACGGGAGGCAGCAGUGGGGAAUAUUGCGCAAUGGGGGCAACCCUGACGCAGCCAUGCCGCGUGAAUGAAGAAGGCCUUCGGGUUGUAAAGUACUUUCAGCGGGGAGGCGUUACCCGCAGAAGAAGCACCGGCUAACUCCGUGCCAGCAGCCGCGGUAAUUC
rnacentral:rRNA from 1 species